GCACUGCCCGGUAGCUAAAUGCGGAAGAGAUAAGUGCUGAAAGCAUCUAAGCACGAAACUUGCCCCGAGAUGAGUUCUCCCUGAGACUUAGAGUCUCCUGAAGGAACGUUGAAGACGACGACGUUGAUAGGCCGGGUGUGUAAGCGCAGCGAUGCGUUGAGCUAACCGGUACUAAUGAACCGUGAGGCUUAACCUUACAACGCCGAAG
rnacentral:rRNA from 5 species